UACGUAGGGUGCAAGCGUUGUCCGGAAUUAUUGGGCGUAAAGAGCUCGUAGGUGGCCUGUCGCGUCGGCUGUGAAAACUCCGGGGCUCAACUCCGAGCUUGCAGUCGAUACGGGCAGGCUAGAGUUCGGCAGGGGAGACUGGAAUUCCUGGUGUAGCGGUGAAAUGCGCAGAUAUCAGGAGGAACACCGGUGGCGAAGGCGGGUCUCUGGGCCGAUACUGACACUGAGGAGCGAAAGCGUGGGGAGCGAACAGG
rnacentral:rRNA from 1 species